rnacentral:rRNA from 1 species
CCUACGGGAGGCUGCAGUGGGGAAUAUUGGACAAUGGGGGCAACCCUGAUCCAGCCAUGCCGCGUGUGUGAAGAAGGCCCUCGGGUUGUAAAGCACUUUCAGUGAGGAAGAACGCCUGGUGGUUAAUACCCAUCAGGAAAGACAUCACUCACAGAAGAAGCACCGGCUAACUCCGUGCCAGCAGCCGCGGUAAUACGGAGGGUGCGAGCGUUAAUCGGAAUUACUGGGCGUAAAGCGCGCGUAGGUGGCUUGAUAAGCCGGUUGUGAAAGCCCCGGGCUCAACCUGGGAACGGCAUCCGGAACUGUCAAGCUAGAGGGCAGGAGAGGAAGGUAGUAUUCCCGGUGUAGCGGUGAAAUGAGUAGAGAUCGGGAGGAAUACCAGUGGCGAAGGCGGCCUUCUGGACUGACACUGACACUGAGGUGCGAAAGCGUGGGUAGCAAACAGGCUUAGAUACCCUAGUAGUC